UUGCUGCAGGAGGGAAAACAGGCUUAUUUCAUGGUAUAAAGCCUGGAGCCAUAUUUCAUACCCAGGGCUGCUGGGCUAAGGUGUUUUGAGGCCUUAAGCACUGAAAAUGUGAUGGUGAUACUGCCUGUCCCCUUCCCCAUGCUGGUCCCAAGUCAGAGCAAUGCAAAACCAGGAAGUAAGUGGCAGGACCCUCCACAAGCUCUUCCACCACCCGGGCUGAGAGGGAGUGGGCGAGGAGGAGCAGGAGGGAGAGGUCACAAAGGGUCCUGAGGACACCUGGGGAGGUGAUGAGUAGGUUCAUGGUCUUGACUGUGGUGACGGCUCCACAGGUAUAUACAUACGUCAAACGUGUCAAAUGGUACACUUUAAAAAUGUACCAUAAAUGCAGCUUAUGUCAAUCAUACCUCGGUAAAACUGUUUUUAAAUGAAAUAACAAAUAUCAAAUAUUUUGUUUGUUUUCAGGUGUUCCCCUGCUUGACCCACAGCCGGUUGGAAAUCCAGCCCUGCCACGCCCACGCUCCCUGCGAGGGCAAUGCCAGCUUUCAGAAUCCCAUAGGGAGAGCUUCCCCCGUCUCUGAGGGUGAGAGGCUGUCUCUCUGUGCCCUGUGCGACCUGCAGAGAGGUUCUGAGACCCUUCCUGGAGAAGGCUUCUGAGUCUUCUAGCUCCUGGGCAGGGCGUUUCUUAAUGCUCCUCAUCACCCAGAAAUGCCUUCUUUCAUUGCUCCCAGCUCUUGCUUUUGGUAGCAUGGGAGAAAGGACACCAGUGGCCAUAGCCUUAAAGGCCCAAAGGAUGAUGAGAGUUGCCCGCCCCCGUCCCGGGCACAGGGGAUGUGGCCAGAGGGGAGUGGCUAGAGCCUCACUCCUCUUGGUCUGAACAAGCUCUUGGCUUCCGCACCACCCAGGCAGACGGCACAAAGGCUGCUCCCCAUUCCUGCCCUCUCCUCUUGCCCUUCUGCCUGGCCUGGCCCCUUUCCCCCACUGCUCUCCCUGCCCCGUCCCCCCCGGCUGUCCUUCCUGAGCUGGUUCAGACACCAGAGAGCCAGAAGGGCCUGGCGAGAGAAGGCUCUCUGGGAGGGAUCCCUCUGGUUCCUGCCACAGGGAGAAGCAGGGUGCAACUGUGAGAUAAAUAAAAAUGAUAAUGUGUGUCCCCCUCACCAUGGGUGAGCUGGCAAGAAAGCCCGCCCAAGCCAAGGUGCAGACAGCACAUGGGGAGAGAAGGCGCGGGGGCCUGUGGGACGUGGGAACAGGAUGUGGAGGCUGCUUACCUCCCCCCCACCUCCGCCCGCUCGAUAGACCCACACUAGUGCGCAUCCCCUCUGGGGUCCUCAGAGCUCUCUAGACUCCAGAAACAGUUGUGCUAACAGAAGGAUUCCAAAGCACCGUAUUGAGCAAUGCCACAAGCAGGCUGAGAGAAUUCUUGUGAAGUCUGCAAAUGGACUGAGAGCAGCUUUUCUGAGGAGGUUAACAGGAUUAAGGAAAAGGUCCAGACAUGGUCUCCAGCCAACCGGCAGACUCGAAAAUUCAGAUGAAAAGGAAGAGUGAAACCACAUUUCUUAGACUUGGAGUUAUACUGGGGACACGCGGCUGCAAUUUGAUUAAUAAUAGAAUCUGGUCGAAAUUGAGAAAAAGGCUUUGGUCUUCUAUGCCUUCCUUGAGUUCCAAAGAGCAGACUCGAGCAGUUACUAAUGAAGGAAUGCAGAAACAAAGGAAAAGCAGUCAAGAAACACUAGUUCAGCGAUAAAACAGAGUACUUGUUUCUCCUCUUGGGAUGCGCAUACAAUCUGACACGUAUCUUUGAGUUGUUGGGCAAGAACUACGACCCCCAUCGAGGAGGAGGAGGAGGAGGAGGAGGAGGGUGAUACAUGCUGACCACAGUGCAUAGACCCCAGACUGGCUGGAACCAAAGACUUGAUAAUAAAGAGUCCCAAACGCCACUGUGUUACCUCACCACUACCAACUAAUCAGAAGAAAUUCAUGUCACCUGCAAUCCUCACCCCAAAUGUUGCCUUAAAAAAAAAAAAACCGACUUCCCUGCAAGCCACGGGGGAGUCUGGGUGUUUUGAGCAUGAGCUGCCUGUUCUCCUUGCUUGGCGCCUGCAGUAGACGCAGUACUUGCCCUCACCACAACCCGCCAUCAGACUGGCUUUGCUGCGUGUUGGACGGGACAAGGGGAUCCAAGUUCAGUUCAGUUUAGUAAAAGAAUUAUUGUAUUCUUGUAGGGAAUUGUAUUAUUGUAGGGAAAUGGCUUACUUGAAUGAAAAAAAUUGCUUUUAAGGCAGGACAAGAAAAAUUUUAAACAUAAAAUUCUCUGCCAGUUUGAGGCACUCCUCCCUCCCCUGCAGUGUGCAUUGUGCACCUGCGCGAUACAUUAACUACAUCCCCUUAGAAGACACAGGGAUGCCUACUAACCGCCUCCCCCACCCCCCGCCAAAAACUCCUGACGCCAGCAAGGUGACUCCUUAGAAGAUAACAUUCCUUUCUCAAUCCUGUAAGGGGUCACAAUAACUCACUACUCGCCUUGUUGGACUGUGUAAACCAUCAACAUGUUACUUUGAUGUAUAACCCUUUGUCUCAAAAACUUACGUAUGCUUGACCUCUAGCAGGCAGAACAGUCUUCAGAGCUUUCUACAAGACGGUCCUGGGUUUUAAUCCUCAGGUUGGCUCAAAUAAAAGUUCUAUUUCUUUCUAAAUUGA